rnacentral:rRNA from 1 species
ACUCCUACGGGAGGCAGCAGUGGGGAAUAUUGCACAAUGGGCGCAAGCCUGAUGCAGCCAUGCCGCGUGUGUGAAGAAGGCCUUCGGGUUGUAAAGCACUUUCAGUCGUGAGGAAGGUGGUAGUGUUAAUAGCACUAUCAUUUGACGUUAGCGACAGAAGAAGCACCGGCUAACUACGUGCCAGCAGCCGCGGUGAUACGUAGGGUGCGAGCGUUGUCCGGAUUUAUUGGGCGUAAAGGGCUCGUAGGUGGUUGAUCGCGUCGGAAGUGUAAAUCUUGGGGGCUUAACCCUGAGCGUGCUUUCGAUACGGGUUGACUUGAGGAAGGUAGGGGAGGAAUGGAAUUCCUGGUGGAGCGGUGGAAUGCGCAGAUAUCAGGAGGAACACCAGUGGCGAAGGCGGUUCUCUGGUCUUUCCUGACGCUGAGGAGCGAAAGCGUGGGGAGCGAACAGGCUUAGAUACCCUGGUAGCUA